rnacentral:rRNA from 1 species
GAUGAACGCUGGCGGCGUGCCUAAUACAUGCAAGUCGAACGAAACUUCUUUAUCACCGAGUGCUUGCACUCACCGAUAAAGAGUUGAGUGGCGAACGGGUGAGUAACACGUGGGCAACCUGCCCAAAAGAGGGGGAUAACACUUGGAAACAGGUGCUAAUACCGCAUAACCAUAGUUACCGCAUGGUAACUAUGUAAAAGGUGGCUAUACUACCGCUUUUGGAUGGGCCCGCGGCGCAUUAGCUAGUUGGUAGGGUAGAGGCUUACCAAGGCAAUGAUGCGGAGCCGAAUUGGGGGGUUGGUCGGCCACAUUGGGACUGAAACAGGGCCCAACCCCCUAGGGGGGGAAGCAGGGGGGAAUUUUCCAAAAGGGGCGAAAGCCGUAGGGGGCAACGCCGGGGGGGGAAAGAGGGUUUUGGGAUCGUAAAACCCUUGUGUUAGGAAAAAAAGGGGGGGAGGGGAACUUUUCCCGUUUGGACGGUACCUAAACAAAAAGCCACGGCUAACUACGU